rfam:Aedes aegypti strain Liverpool supercont1.163 genomic scaffold, whole genome shotgun sequence.
CCUCUCAUGGCGUAGUGGUAACGCGCCCUAACUUGAGAUCUGGGAGUCGUGAGUUCGAUUCUCACUGAGAAGA